UGGGUUUUGGAUCUAUAAAGGAGGCCUGAUCACCUAUGGAGCAUGGAGUAUCUCAAGGCAUCUCAAAGAGAUUGAGGGGUCCCAGGGAGAUAGAGAGCACAUAGUAGAGCAUCUCAAGGAGAAUGCUAGGGGCAUCAACAGUAGCCAGAAGUGUCUUGGAACGGUCAGGGAAGUGGCUUAUAGGGAUAGAGGCUGAGACAUAAUGUAGCAACUGAGAGCAUCAUAGGGAAA
rnacentral:lncRNA from 1 species